rnacentral:rRNA from 1 species
AUUGAACGCUGGCGGAAUGCUUUACACAUGCAAGUCGAACGGCAGCACGGACUUCGGUCUGGUGGCGAGUGGCGAACGGGUGAGUAAUGUAUCGGAACGUGCCCAGUCGUGGGGGGAUAACGUAGUGAAAAUUACGCUAAUACCGCAUACGAUCUAUGGAUGAAAGCGGGGGAUCGCAAGACCUCGCGCGAUUGGAGCGGCCGAUAUCAGAUUAGGUAGUUGGUGGGGUAAAGGCCCACCAAGCUAACGAUCUGUAGCUGGUCUGAGAGGACGAUCAGCCACACUGGAACUGAGACACGGUCCAGACUCCUACGGGAGGCAGCAGUGGGGAAUUUUGGACAAUGGGCGAAAGCCUGAUCCAGCCAUUCCGCGUGCAGGAUGAAGGCCCUCGGGUUGUAAACUGCUUUUGUACAGAACGAAAAGGUUUCUACUAAUACUAGGAGCUCAUGACGGUACUGUAAGAAUAAGCACCGGCUAACUACGUGCCAGCAGCCGCAGUAA